CCUAAGAAUUAGGUUAAAAGUACAAAAAACAAUAAGUUUUUAGGUGGCUAGUCCGCGUAAAGUCUAAGUAAAAAAAUAUAUAAUGAAAAUUUUUUUAUACCAGUCUUGACCAAAACUCGUGCCAGCAGUCGCGGUAAUACGAGAAAGGCAAGCGUUAUUCAUCUUUAUUAGGUUUAAAGGGUACUUAAACGGAUUAUCUUGCCUAUAAGGAACAGAUAUAUCUAGAGUUUUAUAUGAAGGGAUUUUUGUACUAGUAGAGUAGAGAUUGAAUUUUUUGAUACUAUUAGGCACCGGUAGUGGCGAAAGCAGACCCUUGGGUAUAAACUGACGUUGAGGGACGAAGGCUAGGGUAACGAGUAGGAUUUGGUACCCUAUUAGUCCUAGCAGGCAACGAUGAAUGCUAUAGAUUAGAAAAAAUUUUUUAGUCUAUAUACGAAAGUAUAAGCAUUUCACCUCAGGAGUAAAGUGGCAACACUGGAACUGAAAUCAUUAGACCGUUUCUGACAAUAGUAAUGAAGUAUGUUAAUUAAUUCGAUGAUCCGCGAAGAACCUUACCACAAUUUGAAUAUUGUAACUUAUUUAGUUAUUAAUACAAGUGUUGCAUGGCUGUCUUAAGUUGAUGUCGUGAGAUUUAGGUUAGUUCCGCAUAAUCAACGUAAUCCCUUAUUUUAUUUAAUUAUAAUAAAAUAGAUCUCUGAUACAACGGGUGUAUAAACGGGAACAAGGCAAGCACUCAUGACCUUAAUAUUGUGGGCUUCCGACGUGCUGCAAAUGCCUACACAAAGGGAAGCAAGUAUGUGAAUACAAG
rnacentral:rRNA from 1 species